UACAGAGGUCUCAAGCGUUGUUCGGAUUCAUUGGGCGUAAAGGGUGCGUAGGCGGCACGGUAAGUCGGGUGUGAAAUCUCGGAGCUUAACUCCGAAACUGCAUUCGAUACUGCCGUGCUUGAGGACUGGAGAGGAGACUGGAAUUUACGGUGUAGCGGUGAAAUGCGUAGAUAUCGUAAGGAAGACCAGUGGCGAAGGCGGGUCUCUGGACAGUUCCUGACACUGAGGCACGAAGGCCAGGGGAGCAAACGGG
rnacentral:rRNA from 1 species